UCUGACUGGUGCUAAGGUAGCAUAAUCAUUUGUUAUUUAAUUAAUAACUAGUAUGAAUGGUAACACGAAUUAUUUAUUUUCUUAAUUUAUUUAAAGAAAUUAAUUUAAAAAUUAAAAAGUUUUUGAGCUUUAGAAAGACGACAAGACCCUAAAACCUUUACUAAAAAUUAGUUUUACUGGGGCGGUAAAUAACAUAACGUGUGUUUUAAAUCCAUUUUAAAUGAUUCUAAUUAACCUUUGUAAGAAAAUAAAAAGGUACUUUAGGGAUAACAGAAUAAUUUUUGUAGAGAGUUCUUAUCGGCAUAAAAGUUUUUUACCUCGAUGUUGAAUUGAAUACACCUUAUAAAGCAGAU
rnacentral:rRNA from 1 species